rnacentral:lncRNA from 1 species
UGUGCGUAUUGUUAUGCGUUUACUUUUCUACAUUGGCUAGAGGUAUAGGGGGAGGGUUGAGAUCUCACAAACAUGUUUAACCCCGCCGCAUUUUUGCGCCUGUCCCAAGUCAGGAGCCUCUGGCCUUUGUUAGUCUUGUAUUAUUUUAACUUUUAGUUUCUUGUGUACAAUUUGGAGUUUAGUAUGGCGUUCAUUAUAACCGAACUAGUAUAUAUUUGUUUAGGGGCCAGCUGAAGGACGCCUCCGGGUGCGGGAAUUUCUCGUUGCAUUGAAGACCUGUUGGUGACCUUCUGCUGUUGUCUGC